rnacentral:rRNA from 1 species
GUAGGUGGCAAGCGUUGUCCGGGAAUUAUUGGGGCGUAAAGCGCGCGCAGGCGGUUCUUUAAGUCUGAUGUGAAAGCCCACGGGCUCAACCGUGGAGGGUCAUUGGAAACUGGAGAACUUGAGUACAGAAGAGGAAAGCGGAAUUCCACGUGUAGCGGUGAAAUGCGUAGAGAUGUGGAGGAACACCAGUGGCGAAGGCGGCUUUCUGGUCUGUAACUGACGCUGAGGCGCGAAAGCGUGGGGAGCAAACAGGAUUAGAUACCCUGGUAGUCCACGCCAUAAACGAUGAGUGCUAAGUGUUAGGGGGUUUCCGCCCCUUAGUGCUGCAGCUAACGCAUUAAGCACUCCGCCUGGGGAGUACGGCCGCAAAGGCUG